UAUAUAUGGAGUCCUCAGACAGUAGUCAUACUCUCGUCUCAUAGAUUACGCCACACAUGGAUAGUAUAUAUAUUUUACUUUGUGCGUGCGAAUGGCUCUAUCUCUCAUAUAUAGUUAGUAAGAUGAAAUGUCUUACUUGGAUAUCGGUAGUAUUUGUAGAAUUAAUACGUAAUCAAUUCCUCGAGAAGAGGAGGGGUAUUUAUUAUAAUGAAAACCAAUAGUCUCAGUAUAUUGGGGAGUAAUAACCCCUUGUCAUUUCGCAUGCAUAGGUAGAGAGGUUUCUCAAAAUUUUCUCCCCUCUCACCUUUGGAGGGUAGUGUAGGGGUCUCCCAGCACAGAAGGGGGAAGAAAAGAAUGGGGUUUCGUUUGGGGAGGGGGACCGAGAGAGGGGUCUCCCACACCCAGGAAAGACCGCGGGCGUAAAAAUUCCCCUAUCCUCACACGGGGGGGUAGUCACAAAAACUCACAACGGGGAUAUUUAGUUUUGCAAUUGGAUUGAGAACAAUGCACAACAGUUAUCGAUAAACAAUUGGAGGGCAAGUCUGGUGCCAGCAGCCGCGGUAAUCCACUGCCAAAUG
rnacentral:rRNA from 1 species